rnacentral:rRNA from 1 species
CCUACGGUAGGCUGCAGUGAGGAAUAUUGGUCAAUGGACGAGAGUCUGAACCAGCCAAGUAGCGUGAAGGAUGACUGCCCUAUGGGUUGUAAACUUCUUUUAUAAAGGAAUAAAACGAGGCACGUGUGCCUUUUUGCAUGUACUUUAUGAAUAAGGAUCGGCUACCUCCGUGCCAGCAGCCGCGGUAAUACGGAGGAUCCGAGCGUUAUCCGGAUUUAUUGGGUUUAAAGGGAGCGUAGAUGGGUUGUUAAGUCAGUUGUGAAAGUUUGCGGCUCAACCGUAAAAUUGCAAUUGAUACUGGCAGUCUUGAGUACAGUUGAGGAAGGCGGAAGUCGUGGUGUAGCGGUGAAAUGCUUAGAUAUCACGAAGAACCCCGAUUGCGAAGGCAGCUUACUAAACUGUGACUGACAUUGAUGCUCGAAAGUGUGGGUAUCAAACAGGAUUAGAUACCCGAGUAGUC